CCAGACUCCUACGGGAGGCAGCAGUGGGGAAUAUUGCACAAUGGGGGAAACCCUGAUGCAGCGACGCCGCGUGAGCGAAGAAGUAUUUCGGUAUGUAAAGCUCUAUCAGCAGGGAAGAAAAUGACGGUACCUGACUAAGAAGCCCCGGCUAACUACGUGCCAGCAGCCGCGGUAAUACGUAGGGGGCAAGCGUUAUCCGGAUUUACUGGGUGUAAAGGGGGCGGAGGCGGCCGGGCAAGGCAGAUGUGAAAGCCCGGGGCUCAACCCCGGGACUGCAUUUGGAACUGUCAGGCUAGAGUGUAGGAGAGGCAAGCGGAAUUCCUAGUGUAGCGGUGAAAUGCGUAGAUAUUAGGAGGAACACCAGUGGCGAAGGCGGCCUACUGGACGAUGACUGACGUUGAGGCUCGAAAGCGUGGGGAGCAAACAGGAUUAGAUACCCCUGUACG
rnacentral:rRNA from 1 species